rnacentral:rRNA from 1 species
GUUAGCGGCGGACGGGUGAGUAACACGUGGGCAACCUGCCUGUAAGACUGGGAUAACUCCGGGAAACCGGAGCUAAUACCGGAUAACAUUUUUUCUUGCAUAAGAGAAAAUUGAAAGAUGGUUUCGGCUAUCACUUACAGAUGGGCCCGCGGUGCAUUAGCUAGUUGGUGAGGUAACGGCUCACCAAGGCAACGAUGCAUAGCCGACCUGAGAGGGUGAUCGGCCACACUGGGACUGAGACACGGCCCAGACUCCUACGGGAGGCAGCAGUAGGGAAUCUUCCGCAAUGGACGAAAGUCUGACGGAGCAACGCCGCGUGAGUGAUGAAGGCUUUCGGGUCGUAAAACUCUGUUGUUAGGGAAGAACAAGUACAAGAGUAACUGCUUGUACCUUGACGGUACCUAACCAGAAAGCCACGGCUAACUACGUGCCAGCAGCCGCGGUAAUACGUAGGUGGCAAGCGUUAUCCGGAAUUAUUGGGCGUAAAGCGCGCGCAGGCGGUUUCUUAAGUCUGAUGUGAAAGCCCACGGCUCAACCGUGGAGGGUCAUUGGAAACUGGGGAACUUGAGUGCAGAAGAGAAAAGCGGAAUUCCACGUGUAGCGGUGAAAUGCGUAGAGAUGUGGAGGAACACCAGUGGCGA